rnacentral:rRNA from 1 species
UACAGAGGUCUCAAGCGUUGUUCGGAUUCAUUGGGCGUAAAGGGUGCGUAGGCGGCGCGGUAAGUCGGGUGUGAAAUCUCGGAGCUUAACUCCGAAACUGCAUUCGAUACUGCCGUGCUUGAGGACUGGAGAGGAGACUGGAAUUUACGGUGUAGCGGUGAAAUGCGUAGAUAUCAGGAGGAACACCGGUGGCGAAGGCGGCUACCUGGACAGAAACUGACGCUGAGGAGCGAAAGCGUGGGGAGCGAACAGG